UCUGAGUGUACACCGUGAGCAGCCACAAGAGGAUCCUGGGGCUUACUGGCCAGGCAGUUCAGCCAGACAGCAAGCUCCAGAGUUCAGCGAGAGACCUUGUCUCAGAAAGUAAGACAAGAUCUCCUGUACCCCAAGCUGGCAUCCACGUCCCUCUAGAACCAAGGAUGACUGUGAACGUCUGACUCUCCCACUUACACCUGAGAAUGCUGGCACUCCAGGAUGCUGCCCCACACCUGGCUUAUGGGAUGCCAAGGAUGGAAACCCAGAGCUUCGUGAGUACCAGGCAAGCGCUCUACUAACUUAACUACAUCCCUGAUGUGGGGUACUCACCAGAGAAGACUGUUCAGACACGCAUUUAAGUCAAUAGGAAGUCUUUAUUAGCCGGCCGGUAACUAUACUGGGUGCUCAGGAUCUCGGUGUAUCCCUGAACCUUUCUCACGAUGAGCUUUUAAGCACAAAAACCAUGUUCUGGAUUGACACGCUUCAGUUAACAAGAACAGUUAGCCAGAAGCAGAGCUACAGAAGCUAAAAAGCAAGGUUUUGGCAGGAGAUGCUGUCUGCAUGCUGAGUGUUACAGGCUGAAUAGUACUUCCAUCAUGGGGUCAGUUAUGCUAAGGCCUGGAGCCCUGUUACAAUCCCCAGCCCCAAUCCAUGCAACAUCUGUCAAAAUUCCAUAAAUGUAUAAGUGUUUCCCUUCACAUGUAUGUCUGUAUCAUAUUCGUCAUGGUACUGGAGUUGUAGAUGAUUGUGAACUGCCAUUAGGAUGCUGGGAAUUGAACCCAGGUCCUUUGUAAGAAUAAAUGCUCUUAACCACUGA